rnacentral:rRNA from 1 species
AGUGAACGCUGGCGGCGUGCUUAACACAUGCAAGUCGAACGAGAACGGCAUAUAGCUUGCUAUAUUUGUCAGCUAAGUGGCGCACGGGUGAGUAAUGUAUAGAUAACCUGCCCUUAAGAAAGGAAUAACAGUUGGAAACGACUGCUAAUGCCCUAUAUGCCUUUAAUACAUAAGUAUGCAAGGGAAACGCUUUAGUGCUUAAGGAUGGGUCUGUAUGGUAUCAGCUUGUUGGUGAGGUAAUGGCUCACCAAGGCUAUGACGCCUAACUGGUUUGAGAGGAUGAUCAGUCACGCUGGAACUAAGACACGGUCCAGACUCCUACGGGAGGCAGCAGUGGGGAAUAUUGCACAAUGGACGAAAGUCUGAUGCAGCAACGCCGCGUGGAGGAUGACACAUUUCGGUGCGUAAACUCCUUUUAUAUAGGAAGAUAAUGGCGGUACUAUAUGAAUAAGCACCGGCUAACUCCGUGCCAGCCGCCGCCGUAA